AAAUUGAAGAGUUUGAUCAUGGCUCAGAUUGAACGCUGGCGGCAGGCCUAACACAUGCAAGUCGGACGGUAGCACAGAGGAGCUUGCUCCUCGGGUGACGAGUGGCGGACGGGUGAGUAAUGUCUGGGGAUCUGCCCGAUAGAGGGGGAUAACCACUGGAAACGGUGGCUAAUACCGCAUAACGUCGCAAGACCAAAGAGGGGGACCUUCGGGCCUCUC
rnacentral:rRNA from 2 species